rnacentral:rRNA from 1 species
UGGGGAAUUUUGGACAACGGGCGAAAGCCUGAUCCAGCAAUGCCGCGUGUGUGAAGAAGGCCUUCGGGUUGUAAAGCACUUUUGUCCGGAAAGAAAUCCUUGGCUCUAAUACAGUCGGGGGAUGACGGUACCGGAAGAAUAAGCACCGGCUAACUACGUGCCAGCAGCCGCGGUAAUACGUAGGGUGCAAGCGUUAAUCGGAAUUACUGGGCGUAAAGCGUGCGCAGGCGGUUUGCUAAGACCGAUGUGAAAUCCCCGGGCUCAACCUGGGAACUGCAUUGGUGACUGGCAGGCGUAGAGUAUGGCAGAGGGGGGUUAGAAUUCCACGUGUAGCAGUGAAAUGCGUAGAGAUGUGGAGGAAUACCGAUGGCGAAGGCAGCCCCCCUGGGGCCAAUACUGACGCUCAUGCACGAAAGGCGUGGGGAGCAAAACAGGAUUAGAUACCCUGGUAGUCCCACGCCCCUAAACGAUGUCAACUAGUUGUUGGGGGAUUCAUUUCCUUAGGUAACGUAGCUAACGCGUGAAGUUGAUCGCCUGGGGAGUACGGUCGCAAGAUUAAAACUCAAAGGAAUUGACGGGGU